rnacentral:misc_RNA from 1 species
AAGUCGUAACAAGGUAUCCGUAGGUGAACCUGCGGAUGGAUCAUUAACACAUCUCUCCAAAACCCUUUUGUUUUUUUGUCUCUCUCUCUUUUGAGAACAAACAAAACAAAAGGUAACACCCCUUUCACAGCGAACUUGUCAACGGUGAGAGGCUGCAUGUCUGCAGAUCUCUUGCCGUUCGUUUUUUUUUCUCUCCUCUUCUCUUUCUUUUAAAAAAACCCAAUCCACAACCAAAACGAAUUCGUCUAAAACAACAACAACAACAAAAAAAGAAUUGAAUGUACAACUCUUAACAACGGAUAUCUUGGUUCUC